AACGAACGCUGGCGGCAGGCCUAACACAUGCAAGUCGAGCGGACCUUUCGGGGUCAGCGGCGGACGGGUGAGUAACGCGUGGGAAUAUGCCCUUCUCUACGGAAUAGUCCUGGGAAACUGGGGGUAAUACCGUAUACGCCCUUUGGGGGAAAGAUUUAUCGGGGAAGGAUUAGCCCGCGUUGGAUUAGGUAGUUGGUGGGGUAAUGGCCUACCAAGCCGACGAUCCAUAGCUGGUUUGAGAGGAUGAUCAGCCACACUGGGACUGAGACACGGCCCAGACUCCUACGGGAGGCAGCAGUGGGGAAUCUUAGACAAUGGGGGCAACCCUGAUCUAGCCAUGCCGCGUGAGUGAUGAAGGCCUUAGGGUUGUAAAGCUCUUUCAGCUGGAAAGAUAAUGACGGUACCAGCAGAAGAAGCCCCGGCUAACUCCGUG
rnacentral:rRNA from 1 species